rnacentral:rRNA from 1 species
CCCACUGCUAUCGGGAUGGGACUAAGACAUGCUAGUCGCGCGCCUUCAAGCCAUGAUGGAGGAGCGGCAUACAGCUCAGUAGCACGUGGCUAACCUACCCUCGGGACGGAAACAUCCCCGGGAAACUGGGGCCAAUUUCUGAUAGGUGAGAAGUUCUGGAAUGAUUUNUUGCCCAAAAGACACUUGGAUCACGCUUUCAGGUGUUGCCCAAGGAUGGGGCCGCGGCCGAUCAGGUUGUUGGUGAGGUAACGGCUCACCAAGCCUAUAACCGGUGCGGGCCGUGGGAGCGGGAGCCCGGAGAUGGGCACUGAGACAAUGGCCCAGGCCCUACGGGGCGCAGCAGUCGCGAAAACUUCACAAUAGGCGAAAGCUUGAUGGGGCCAUCCCGAGUGCCAUCCGCUGAGGAUGGCUUUUACCUAGUAUAUAUCGCUGGGGGAAUAAGGAGAGGGCAAGUCUGGUGUCAGCCGCCGCGGUAAUACCAGCUCUCCGAGUGGUGGGGAU